CCUACGGGAGGCAGCAGUGAGGAAUAUUGGUCACUGGGCGCGAGCCUGAACCAGCCAAGUCGCGUGAGGGAAGACGGUCCUAUGGAUUGUAAACCUCUUUUGUCGGGGAGCAAAAGACGCCACGCGUGGCGUUCCGAGAGUACCCGAAGAAAAAGCAUCGGCUAACUCCGUGCCCGCAGCCGCGGUAAUACGGAGGAUGCGACCGUUAUCCGGAUUUAUUGGGUUUAAGGGGUGCGCAGGCGGAAGAUCAAGUCAGCGGUAAAAUUGAGAGGCUCAACCUCUUCGAGCCGUUGAAACUGGUUUUCUUGAGUGAGCGAGAAGUAUGCGGAAGGCGUGGUGUAGCGGUGAAAUGCAUAGAUAUCACGCAGAACUCCGAUUGCGAAGGCAGCAUACCGGCGCUCAACUGACGCUCAUGCACGAAAGUGUGGGUAUCAAACAGGAUUAGAUACCCCUGUAGUC
rnacentral:rRNA from 1 species